rnacentral:rRNA from 1 species
ACGAACGCUGGCGGCGUGCUUAACACAUGCAAGUCGAACGGUGACGGCAGAGCUUGCUCUGCCUGAUCAGUGGCGAACGGGCGAGUAACACGUGAGUAACCUGCCCCUCACUUCGGGAUAACCUCGGGAAAUCGUGGCUAAUACCGGAUACGAGACCUGACUGCAUGGUCGGGUCUGGAAAGAUUUAUCGGUGGGGGAUGGACUCGCGGCCUAUCAGCUUGUUGGUGAGGUAACGGCUCACCAAGGCGACGACGGGUAGCCGGCCUGAGAGGGCGACCGGCCACACUGGGACUGAGAUGCGGCCCAGACUCCUACGGGAGGCAGCAGUGGGGAAUAUUGCACAAUGGGCGAAAGCCUGAUGCAGCUACGCCGCGUGAGGGAUGAAGGCCUUCGGGUUGUUAGCCUCUUUCACCUGGGAAGAAGCGAAAGUGACGGUACCUACAGAAGAAGCGCCGGCUAACUACGUGCCAGCAGCCGCGGUAAUACGUAGGGCACAAGCGUUGUCCGGAAUUAUUGGGCGUAAAGAGCUCGUAGGCGGUUUGUCGCGUCUGGUGUGAAAACCCAAGGCUCAACCUUGGGCUUGCAUCGGGUACGGGCAGACUAGAGUGCGGUAGGGGUGACUGGAAUUCCUGGUGUAGCGGUGGGAUGCGCAGAUAUCAGGAGGAACACCGAUGGCGAAGGCAGGUCACUGGGCCGCAACUGACGCUGAGGAGCGAAAGCAUGGGUAGCGAACAGGAUUAGAUACCCUGGUAGUCCAUGCCAUAAACGUUGGGCACUAGGUGUGGGGCUCAUUCCACGAGUUCCGUGCCGCAGCAAACGCAUUAAGUGCCCCGCCUGGGGAGUACGGCCGCAAGGCUAAAACUCAAAGGAAUUGACGGGGGCCCGCACAAGCGGCGGAGCAUGCGGAUUAAUUCGAUGCAACGCGAAGAACCUUACCAAGGCUUGACAUAUACCGGAAUCAUGCAGAGAUGUGUGCGUCUUCGGACUGGUGUACAGGUGGUGCAUGGUUGUCGUCAGCUCGUGUCGUGAGAUGUUGGGUUAAGUCCCGCAACGAGCGCAACCCUCGUCCUAUGUUGCCAGCGCGUUAAAGCGGGGACUCAUAGGAGACUGCCGGGGU